rnacentral:rRNA from 1 species
UACGAAGGGGGCUAGCGUUGUUCGGAAUUACUGGGCGUAAAGGGCGCGUAGGCGGUACUUCAAGUCAGGCGUGAAAGCCCCGGGCUCAACCUGGGAACCGCGCUUGAGACUGGAGAACUAGAGUUCGGGAGAGGAUGGUGGAAUUCCCAGUGUAGAGGUGAAAUUCGUAGAUAUUGGGAAGAACACCGACGGCGAAGGCAGCCAUCUGGACCGACACUGACGCUGAGGCGCGAAAGCGUGGGGAGCAAACAGG